rnacentral:rRNA from 1 species
AUUGAACGCUGGCGGCAGGCUUAACACAUGCAAGUCGAGCGAGUGGCGGACGGGUGAGUAAUGUCUGGGAAACUGCCCGAUGGAGGGGGAUAACUACUGGAAACGGUAGCUAAUACCGCAUACCAUCAGAUGUGCCCAGAUGGGAUUAGCUGGUAGGUGGGGUAACGGCUCACCUAGGCGACGAUCCCUAGCUGGUCUGAGAGGAUGACCAACCCAACUGGAACUGAGACACGGUCCAGACUCCGACACGACCCAUCGUUGAUAAAUAUUGCACAGUGGGCGCAAGCCUGAGUCAGCCAUGCCGCGUGUGUGAAGAAGACCUUCGGGUUUUAAAGCACUUUCAGCGAGGAGGCGUUACUCGCAGAAGAAGCACCGGCUAACUCCGUGCCAGCCGCCGCGGUAAUUC